AUUGAACGCUGGCGGCAGGCCUAACACAUGCAAGUCGAGCGGUAGAGAGGUGCUUGCAUCUCUUGAGAGCGGCGGACGGGUGAGUAAUGCCUAGGAAUCUGCCUAGUGGUGGGGGAUAACGUUCGGAAACGGACGCUAAUACCGCAUACGUCCUACGGGAGAAAGCGGGGGAUCUUCGGACCUCGCGCCAUUAGAUGAGCCUAGGUCGGAUUAGCUAGUUGGUGGGGUAAAGGCUCACCAAGGCGACGAUCCUUAGCUGGUCUGAGAGGAUGAUCAGCCACACUGGGACUGAGACACGGCCCAGACUCCUACGGGAGGCAGCAGUGGGGAAUAUUGGACAAUGGGCGAAAGCCUGAUCCAGCAAUGCCGCGUGAGUGAUGAAGGCCUCGGUUGUAAG
rnacentral:rRNA from 1 species